CACGAAAGCUGGCGGCAUGCCUAACACAUGCAAGUCGAACGAAGCCUUCGGGCCUAGUGGCGCACGGGUGCGUAACGCGUGGGAAUCUGCCCUUGGGUUCGGAAUAACAGUUAGAAAUGACUGCUAAUACCGGAUGAUGUCUUCGGACCAAAGAUGUAUCGCCCAAGGAUGAGCCCGCGUAGGAUUAGGUAGUUGGUGGGGUAGUGGCUAACCAAGCCGACGAUCCUUAGCUGGUCCGAGAGGACGAUCAGCCACACUGGGACUGUGACACGGCCCAGACUCCUACUGUGGGAAGCAGUGGGGAAUAUUGGACAAUGGGCGAAAGCCUGAUCCAGCAAUGCCUCGUGAGUGAUGAAGGCCUUAGGGUUGUAAAGCUCUUUUACCAGGGAUGAUAAUGACAGUACCUGGAGAAUAAGCUCCGGCUAACUCCGUGCCAGCCGCCGCCGUAAACC
rnacentral:rRNA from 1 species